UACGUAGGGUGCGAGCGUUGUCCGGAAUUACUGGGCGUAAAGAGCUCGUAGGUGGUUUGUCGCGUUGUUCGUGAAAUUCCCUGGCUUAACUGGGGGCGUGCGGGCGAUACGGGCAGACUGGAGUACUGCAGGGGAGACUGGAAUUCCUGGUGUAGCGGUGGAAUGCGCAGAUAUCAGGAGGAACACCGGUGGCGAAGGCGGCAUCCUGGACCAUUACUGACGCUGAGGAGCGAAAGCCAGGGGAGCAAACGGG
rnacentral:rRNA from 1 species